rnacentral:rRNA from 1 species
AUGGAAACAUCGUCUUAUGCUAUUGUCAAGAUGAAGAACCAUGUGCCUCUGCAACUCUCAAUUAUUUAGCGAAUCAUUAAGUUGUAUGAGACACACAUGAGAAUGAGAUCCUUCUGUGCUGAGCAUAUGGGCAUAAUUUUGGAGAUGCUAUCGGCCAUUGCCCAUGCAAGUGAAGUGAGUUCUGAAUCUGCCUUGCACAUCAAAUUCCACAAAGCAUGCUCCCUUAUGGAGAUAUCUGAGCCAGCAUCCAUCCAUUUCGAGAAUGAAUCUUACCAGAGCUAGCUCAAACUUCUGCAAGCUCUUCAUGAAAACCCAUCUUUGUCAUGAGAAAUGAACAUUGAGUCAUAAAUUAUGCUUGUUUGUAAAAUACUACGGAAGUAUCUGAACUGUGCAGUCCAGGAACCAUAUAAGGAUGCUUCUUGUAAAGAUCCAGUUGUACACUGGGUGCUGCCUUUAUGCGCUACUAAGAAAAAUGAAAUGUCUGCUAGAACCCCAUUGGUAAUUCAUGUACUGUGGUUGCUUGGUCUAGAGAGGGAGUGCUUUAGGAGGAAUUUGCCCCGAAUUUUCCCCUUAUAAGCUAAUCUCGUCUGCUGUGAGCAUAGCACAAGCGAGGUUCAAGUUGCACUACAUGAUAUCUUUCAGACAUCAGUAGGCCCUAUAAUUUCAGUAUAG